rnacentral:rRNA from 1 species
UGCAAGUCGAACGGAAAGGCCUGGAUCUUGCUGCGUGUACUCGAGUGGAAAACGGGAGAGUAACACGUGGGUGAUCUGCCUUGCACUUCGAGAUAAGCUUGAAAAACUGGGUCUAAUACCAGAUAAGACACCUGUUUAUGGUCAGUUGUGGAAAGUUUUUUCGGUGCAAGAUGAGCUCGCGGCCUAUCAGCUUGUUGGUGGGGUAAUGGCCUACCAAGGCUUCGACGGGUAGCCGGCCUGAGAGGGUGUCCGGCCACAUUGGGACUGAGAUACGGCCCAGACUCCUACGGGAGGCAGCAGUGGGGAAUAUUGCACAAUGGGCGGAAGCCUGAUGCAGCGACGCCGCGUGGGGGAUGAAGGCCUUCGGGUUGUAAACUCCUUUCGCCAGUGACGAUGCGUAAGUGACGGUACCUGUAUAAGAAGCACCGGCUAACUACGUGCCAGCAGCCGCGGUAAUACGUAGGGUGCGAGCGUUGUCCGGAAUUAUUGGGCGUAAAGAGCUCGUAGGUGGUUUGUCGCGUCGUAAGUGAAAUUCCGGGGCUUAACUCCGAGCGUGCAGUCGAUACGGGUUGACUUGAGUGCUGUAGGGGAAACUGGAAUUCCUGGUGUAGCGGUGAAAUGCGCAGAUAUCAGGAGGAACACCGAUGGCGAAGGCAGGUCUCUGGCCAUUCCCUGACGCUGAGGAGCGAAAGCAUGGGUAGCGACCAGGAUUAGAUACCCUGGUAGUCCAUCCCUUAACCGGUGGUCCUUAGUUGUAGGUGCAUUCCACGUGUUCUGUGCCGUAGCUAACG